ACGAAGGAUCCAAGCGUUAUCCGGAUUCAUUGGGUUUAAAGGGUGCGUAGGCGGAUUUGUAAGUCAGUGGUGAAAGCCGAUAGCUCAACUAUCGAACUGCCAUUGAUACUGCAGAUCUAGAAUAUAGAUGAUGUUGGCGGAAUAUGACAUGUAGCGGUGAAAUGCAUAGAUAUGUCAUAGAACACCGAUUGCGAAGGCAGCUGACAAAACUAUUAUUGACGCUGAUGCACGAAAGUGCGGGGAUCAAACAGG
rnacentral:rRNA from 1 species